ensembl:lncRNA
GUGGUGAUUUUCGGUCUUGCUUCUGAGGAUAAUGUCUGAAUCUUCUCUGGACACCAGAAGUUGUGACGUUAUGAAGGUUCUGGAGAGUGACGCGCCGCACAUGGCCGGACCGCCCGCGUCCCUCAACGAUCCCCAACACGUGCCCCAGAACAACGGCACACACGCCCAGGAGUGUGUGACAGACCAAAGUUCCCCCCAUCAAACUCAGCUCGUCCAAUCAGCACAGACUAUUAAACGGUCCAAGGUAUGGUAUGAUCACAGCAUGAGUUGGUUUGCUUAUUUUUGUAUUUUUUGGAUCAGUUGGUUGUGUUUUGUUUGCCUGCACUCUGUGUGCCUUGCGAGAAAAAGAGAGAGUUCGGCAGUGCAUUGUGGGAAUAAAAGCCCCUGCUCGAGUCAGUAAAGAAUAAUAAAUGUGCUUUGGGGGGAUGCUGCGUUUAGCACUUUUGCAGCAUGUACCGAGAUGCCGGAGGUUUGUAAGACCCGAGCGCCUCCUCCGGAGAUUUUCCCACCUACAGUGGCGAAUUCUGCUCUGUGCUUGAUGCCGUUUCAUCACCGCAUUUUAAACAGCCGAACUGUUUUUGUGAUUAUGUUGAGUGCUUGUGUUGAUACAAUGUUGUUUUUAGUUUUUUUAGACAUUGCUUGCAAAAAAUCAUCUCUUGUGUUUAUUAUCAUUUCUAAAAAUAAUGAUUCAUAUAUGAAAAACUGUCAAAGUGCUGGUUUUUGGUUUGUUUUGUGUGUUCGUCCUUUGAGAUUUUCAGACUUUCAGGGCUGUCAGACCUUUAUGUAAGCGUCCGUUUUAAUAAACACGCUUCUAAUUAACGAUCUAAUCACAAACCCCUCCCUGAGCUCUGAAAAGUCUCCUGAGACGUUGCAAAAUGGUGCUUGUGUAUUUUUAGUUGCGUUGUUGGACGUUCUUUUGCGAAUGAGUGCCAGACAUUUUGGUAACCAUGGUUACUCUCCUCCAGUCCAACGGCAAGUUAAAGUUAGUCCGCAGCUUGGCGGUGUGUGAGGAGCCGUCUCCGCCUCCGCUCCGAGAACUGACGCACGAACAGGUAAACGUGUGUGUGUGGGUGUGUGUACAGACUAGCAUACUAUUUACUUUUUAGCUUAUGUGACUUAGUUAACUUGCUAAUUCACCAACAUUUGUGUACAUAGUACAUUUGUGGGGUUUUUAAUGUUUUUGAAAGAAAUCUCUCCAAGGCUGAAUUUAUUUGAUUAAAAAUACAGUAAUAUUGUGAGAAAUUAUUACAAAUCUAAAUAAUUUUUUUCUAUUUGAUUAUAUUUUAAAAUAUAGUUUAUUCCUAUGAUGCAAAGCUGAAUUUUCAGCAUCAUUACUCCAGUCUUCAGUGUCACAUGAUCCUUCAGAAAUCAUUCUGAUAUGCUGAUCUAUUAUAAUGAAAAAAAUUAAGCUUUUUUUUUUUAAUUUGUCUGAAUUUAUAGCUCUUAAACUAGUGUGUAAAUAUAAUAUUACAUUUCUAUUUUCUAAAUUUCUUUUUUCUGUUACACAAAUGAUUUUAUAUUUAAUUUAGCAUUUAUUAAUUUAUUAUAGUUAAUAUAUAAUACUAUUUAAUUUACUGAUUUUU